rnacentral:rRNA from 1 species
GUUCGGUGGUUAUGGCGAGGGGGAAACACCCGGUCCCAUCCCGAACCCGGUAGUUAAGCCCCUCAGCGCCGAUGGUACUGCAUGGGAGACUGUGUGGGAGAGUAGGACGCCGCCGGACA